UACAGAGGUCCCAAGCGUUGUUCGGAUUCACUGGGCGUAAAGGGUGCGCAGGUGGGUUUGCAAGUUCGAUGUGAAAGCCCCGGGCUUAACCCGGGAAUGGCAUUGGAUACUGCAGAUCUGGAGGAUCGGAGGGGGGACUGGAAUUCUUGGUGUAGCAGUGAAAUGCGUAGAUAUCAGGAGGAACACCUGUGGUGUAGACAGCUUACUGGACCACGACUGACGCUGAGGCACGAAAGCGUGGGUAGCAAACAGG
rnacentral:rRNA from 1 species